GGAGAGGUACCGAAGUGGUCAUAACGGGAUCGCCUGGAGAGCGAUUGGGCGGCACAACUGCCUCGAGGGUUCGAAUCCCUCCCUCUCCGCCA
rnacentral:tRNA from 1 species